UAGAUUAUAGGUCUAAUAGGUUUGACAUCUAGUUGUUAACUAGUUAUUUGUGGGAUCGAAGCCCACUAGUCUAG
rnacentral:tRNA from 1 species